rnacentral:rRNA from 1 species
CUGCAACUGUUUAUUAAAAACACAGCACUGUGCAAACACGAAAGUGGACGUAUACGGUGUGACGCCUGCCCGGUGCCGGAAGGUUAAUUGAUGGGGUCAGCGCAAGCGAAGCUCCUGAUCGAAGCCCCGGUAAACGGCGGCCGUAACUAUAACGGUCCUAAGGUAGCGAAAUUCCUUGUCGGGUAAGUUCCGACCUGCACGAAUGGCGUAAUGAUGGCCAGGCUGUCUCCACCCGGGACUCAGUGAAAUUGAACUCGCUGUGAAGAUGCAGUGUACCCGCGGCAAGACGGAAAGACCCCGUGAACCUUUACUAUAGCUUGACACUGAACACUGGUCCUUGAUGUGCAGGAUAGGUGGGAGGCUUUGAAGUGUGGACGCCAGUCUGCAUGGAGCCAUCCUUGAAAUACCACCCUUUAAUGGCUGGUGUUCUAACGUGGGCCCGUGAACCGGGUUGCGGACAGUGUCUGGUGGGUAGUUUGACUGGGGCGGUCUCCUCCUAAAGAGUAACGGAGGAGCACGAAGGUUGGCUAAUCCUGGUCGGACAUCAGGAGGUUAGUGCAAUGGCAUAAGCCAGCUUGACUGCGAGCGUGACGGCGCGAGCAGGUGCGAAAGCAGGUCAUAGUGAUCCGGUGGUUCUGAAUGGAAGGGCCAUCGCUCAACGGAUAAAAGGUACUCCGGGGAUAACAGGCUGAUACCGCCCAAGAGUUCAUAUCGACGGCGGUGUUUGGCACCUCGAUGUCGGCUCAUCACAUCCUGGGGCUGAAGUAGGUCCCAAGGGUAUGGCUGUUCGCCAUUUAAAGUGGUACGCGAGCUGGGUUUAGAACGUCGUGAGACAGUUCGGUCCCUAUCUGCCGUGGGCGCUGGAAGAUUGAGGGGGGCUGCUCCUAGUACGAGAGGACCGGAGUGGACGCAUCACUGGUGUUCGGGUUGUCAUGCCAAUGGCACUGCCCGGUAGCUACAUGCGGAAGAGAUAAGUGCUGAAAGCAUCUAAGCACGAAACUUGCCCCGAGAUGAAUCUUCCCUGAGCCUUUAAGGCUCCUGAAGGAACGUUGAAGACGACGACGUUGAUAGGCCGGGUGUGUAAGCGCAGCGAUGCGUUGAGCUAACCGGUACUAAUGAACCGUGAGGCUUAACCUUACAAC